UCUUAUUUGUGUCAUUAGGAGUCAGCAUUGUGGCAGUACAGUAUAAUGAAUGCAAGGAAUGCUAUUUCCUGAAGCCAGAAAAGUGACUUUGGAAUGCAUUACGACGGUGACAUUUAUUACAGCCUGGAGAAUUCAAAAUUUGGGGGAAGAACUGUCUCAGGUAUUGAUGGACUCCAGGAUCCAGAUGGGGAUCAACAGAGUUUAAGACACCAACAGCUCAUUCUGCAACACGCCUGUGUUAUAUUUCUCUUACAAUAUGCCCCAUCAGCUCUAACCCAGCUGUGGUUUCCAGCAGAAAAGGGAUAAGAGUAUUGCACUACAAUCUGUGUAGAGUGUCAGUGAUAUCAUAGUAGGAGGCACCAUUGAUCUACUCAGAGUUUCUGCCCACGUGCGACAGUGGUGUUGGUCAAUUCUGCUAAGACCAAAUGCUUCCUCCAGCAGACUUUGGGGUGCUGGGUAACAUGUGACUGAAGAAGAACUGUGGGUGAACAUAUGUGACAAGGGAAAAGUGGUAAUGGCAAAAUAUGCCCACAACACUCACCUUGUUGGAGAUGUAACAAGCAUUCUCAAGAGGACAAUUGGAGAAGUUACACAGAGCAACCAGAUUAUAGCAAUCAUUUUAUAGAAUGUACUAGUUUAAUGGUAGUUAAAAGCUGAUUAGUUUGUAUGGGCGACUCCUCUACUUUGUCUCUUUAGAAGAUUUAAUACCUCUCACAACACUGUCACACACCUGCCUAUAAAUACCUAAAAUACUCCAUGUAGAUGACUCUGGAAGAGGUAAAUUCACACAUAAAUCGAUACAGUUAUGACAUUAAAAUAUAUGUCCAACAUUUGAAAAUAGAGCCCUAGUGACCUCUUAUCCUAAUGAUUUAGGCAAUAUAUGAAAAACACUAUUUUAGAAUAAAAAUAUUUAGUAGUAACUAAAUAUUAUUAAAAUGUGAUAGUAAUUAGCAAUAUGAAAACUACAACACUGAAAAAUUUCACAAAAAGUUUCUAGACAGAUACAUACUUUAAAACAUUCAAUGAAGAUGUCACAAACAACUAAUAAUUGUGCUUCUCCAAGAGCACUCAGAUAGAAAUUAAUGUAACUUUUUCAUUCUCUGUUCUGUUUCCUGGUGAUGAUAUUAAUGCAGGUUUCCCUUCCAACCCCAGACUCCAAACACUAUGAAUGCCAGACCCUUCUGUCAAGUGAGGGACAGCAGGCCCUUCACCCUGAUUCUCCACUUUUCUGUUUUUUCACUGAAUGUCUGGAAAAGAGCAAAAAACUAUUCAUGGGCAUCACAACUUUUGGGAAGGGAGGGAUAUAAUUUUGUUUUACUGUAUGUGCUUAAUGGUUAAUAAAAUGUUUUUCCCAUGAGUCAUAUUACAAACUAAUUUUUUUAUAUUGUAAUAUUUGUUAGCUUAUUUCACCUUUUUGGCCAUAUGGACUAAAAGGGGUAAUAAACAAUACAGAGAGCAUUCCAGGGACACUGCAAAGAGAAUUAUAAUCCCCAUCAUAUAAUACAGAAAGCAUUGUACUUAUCACCAUACAAUACAGUUUGCAACCUAGUGACCACCAUACAAUGUAAAAUGCAUCCUUGUGACCAUUAUUUAUUUAUUUAUUUAUUAACAGUUUCUUAUAUAGCGCAGCAAAUUCUGUUGCGCUUUACAAUUGGAAAUAACAAUGAUAUAACAAAACUGGGUAAUAACAAACAGUCAUAGAG